rnacentral:rRNA from 1 species
GACAGAGGGUGCAAACGUUGUUCGGAAUUACUGGGCGUAAAGCGCGUGUAGGCGGCCCUGCAAGUCGGAUGUGAAAUCCCACGGCUCAACCGUGGAAGUGCACUCGAAACUGCAGGGCUAGAGUCCUGGAGAGGAAGGUGGAAUGCUUGGUGUAGGGGUGAAAUUCGUAGAUAUCAAGCGGAACACCGGUGGCGAAGGCGGCCUUCUGGACAGUGACUGACGCUGAGACGCGAAAGCGUGGGGAGCAAACAGG